GUGGGGAAUAUUGGACAAUGGGCGAAAGCCUGAUCCAGCCAUGCCGCGUGAGUGAUGAAGGCCUUAGGGUUGUAAAGCUCUUUCAGUAGGGAAGAUAAUGACGGUACCUACAGAAGAAGCCCCGGCUAACUUCGUGACAGCAGCCGCGGUAAUACGAAGGGGGCUAGCGUUGUUCGGAAUUACUGGGCGUAAAGCGCACGUAGGCGGACAUUUAAGUCAGGGGUGAAAUCCCAGAGCUCAACUCUGGAACUGCCUUUGAUACUGGGUGUCUUGAGUAUGGAAGAGGUAAGUGGAAUUCCGAGUGUAGAGGUGAAAUUCGUAGAUAUUCGGAGGAACACCAGUGGCGAAGGCGGCUUACUGGUCCAUUACUGACGCUGAGGUGCGAAAGCGUGGGGAGCAAACAGGAUUAGAUACCCGAGUAGUCC
rnacentral:rRNA from 1 species